GCCUUAGUAGUAUAAAAAUUACAUUGGCCUUGUAAGCCAAAAAUGAAGAAUACCUUCCUAAGGCA
rnacentral:tRNA from 1 species